GACAGAGGUGCCAAGCGUUAGGCGGAAUCACUGGGCUUAAAGCGUGUGUAGGCGGCAUGGUAAGUCCCUUGUGAAAUCCCACGGCUCAACCGUGGAACUGCUUGGUAUACUGCUUUUCUUGAGCCACUUAGGGGCAACCGGAACAAACGGUGGAGCGGUGAAAUGCGUAGAUAUCGGUUGGAACGCCAAUGGUGAAAACAGGUUGCUGGGAGUGUGCUGACGCUGAGACACGAAAGCCAGGGGAGCAAACGGG
rnacentral:rRNA from 1 species